UACGUAGGUGGCAAGCGUUGUCCGGAUUUACUGGGCGUAAAGAGCGCGCAGGCGGUCAGAUAAGUCGAAUGUGAAAGCCCCCGGCUUAACUGGGGAGGGUCGUUCGAUACUGUUCGACUCGAAGGCAGGAGAGGGAAGCGGAAUUCCCGGUGUAGCGGUGAAAUGCGCAGAUAUCGGGAGGAACACCAGUAGCGAAGGCGGUUCUCUGGGCCGGCACUGACGCUGAGGAGCGAAAGCGUGGGGAGCAAACAGG
rnacentral:rRNA from 1 species